ACUAAUUGAAUCAAGAGUGAUCUUGAUCAUUGUGUUUCAAGUGAUGACCAUAUAAGAAACGUUUUUCUUAUUACUUAUAUAUCAUUAUAAUGUGAUCUUCCUUUUCUUCAAGAAAGGAUACUCUCUAGACUUUUGUCAAUUCAUAUAGAACUCAUAGUAGACAAAUGGAACCAAAUCUAAAGAUUCAUUGUAUCCUUUAUGUCCUACAUGUGAGAUCUAUCCAUAAUUGAUAAAUCUAAAGUUUGGCUAUCACAUUACAAUAAGUGAUAUAACUCUUGUAUCUCAUCUAGGAUACAACAAGACAAUUCUUUCAAUUCAUAACACUACUUUAAGGAAAUAGUAUAUUAAAAAGGCAUUUUUCACAUUACAUUAAUAUGAUAGUUCAAACAUUCAUAAUGUUUAAUACAAAAAGUAUUAGCUCUAUACAUUUAGAGACUAAUAUAAAUACCUUCAUACAUUUAGGCACUAAUAGUGAUCUUCCAUCAUAUGAAGCCACAUAAUAAGUUCUUAACAAAAUAAGAAAGUUUAAAGACAAUCUUUAAUGCCAAACAAACUUCCUAAGUAGUAAGCUAAAAACAUAGUGGCCGAACCCUUCACCACAUUUUUCCUUGCUUGUUCAUCUUCUACUU
rnacentral:lncRNA from 1 species